CCAAUAGCGUAUAUUAAAGUUGUUGCAGUUAAAAAGCUCGUAGUUGAAUUUCGGGAUCAAUGGGUUGGUCAUGCCCUCGGUAUGUACUGAUUUCAUUGGUUCUCACCUUCUAAGGAACCAUGAUGUCAUUCGUUUGAUGUUGUGGGGAAUUAGGACUGUUACCUUGAAAAAAUUAGAGUGUUUAGAGCAGGCUAACGCUUGAAUACAAUUAGCAUGGAAUAAUGAAAUAGGACAUCCGAUUCUAUUUUGUUGGUUUCUAGGAUCGAUGUAAUGAUUAAUAGGGAUAGUUGGGGGCAUUAGUAUUCAAUUGUCAGAGGUGAAAUUCUUGGAUUUAUUGAAGACUAACUACUGCGAAAGCAUUUGCCAAGGAUGUUUUCACUAAUCAAGAACGAAAGUUAGGGGAUCGAAGACGAUCAGAUACCGUCGUAGUCUUAACCAUAAACUAUGCCGACUAGGGAUCGGAUGAUGCUUAUUUUUUAAUGACUCAUUCGGCACCUUACG
rnacentral:rRNA from 1 species